CCACAGCGCAGUACUGCAUGCAUGCAGUAUCAUAUCAGCCGAUAUACUAAUUUUCGAUUUUCCGUACACAGAAUGUACGUCGACGUCGGCGGGUUUGAUUUGUUUGACGUCCUCAUCCUCAAUGAUCAACCUCACACAUGACGUGCAUACCGCACCAGUGCAAUUUUAUGUAUGGAGGAGAUGAUGCCGUUGUGAAAAGACUGUGUUCAUAUCACGCCAAACCAGCCGUUCAAAGCUGUUCGAGGAACGUGAAGUGUGGGUGGACGCUCGAGCUUUGAGCUUUUGUGCUGUGUGUAGUUGAACCGUCGUAACCUCGCUGGGUCCUUCUCUAAGCAUUGCUCUUAGUCCUAGUUGCUGUUCACCUUCUCUUUGAUUUUGUAAGCGGCGCUUCCUCUGCCGUACUAAUUUGAACCUAAGCGGUACUGAUUGGAAGUUUAUUCAAACGUCCUCCUCUGUAUUGGCUUUAUUUGCCAAUUUCUCGCCUCCAACAGUUGGUGUUGUGAAUAUACGAUUUCAUCAUGGCAGAAGCGGAUGGGGCAAAGAGCAAGAAGAUUGGACUUAGUAUCCAAAAGAAGCUGUUUGGGUUUCAUCUUGUUUUGUUCCACAGUAUAUAUCGACUAGACAGUGCCCUCCAGAAGUUAAACUGAUAAUCACUCUAGGCAAUAGUCAACUACGAAUGUUUCUUGCAUGGCAGGAUGUGUGCGUGCGUAUGUGUGUGUGUGUGUGUUUAGUGUCAUCGCUCCAUGCGCUUGGGCCGUUUUGCAAACAUUACUCCUGAUGGUUUUAUUGUACAGGAAAAGGGGCUUGAAAUUUGAUUUAAUAUUUUAUGGUGGAUUUAUCGUUCGCGCUAUGUCCGGUACUGGAAUACGGCAUCAUUUGACUGGUCUUUUCUCAUCCUGUGUCAUUAUAAUUAUAGCCGGUACAUGUACUUCGAAGUAUAUCGCUACAUGAUCCAAUGAUGUUUUACGAAUAUCUACUGUACAUUUACUGCAUGUAUCACUAUCACAGGUCAAGUACGCAGGGGGGAGGGUUGACUGCCAGUGCAGCCUGCUGCAUAGUUCAUACAUUUGGAGACACUCUUUGCCAUUGGCAUUGGUGUAUGGUGUCAUGCUCUUUGCUGCUAGUCGGUGCUUCAAGCACUUGCCAACAGUCAACACUUGUAACAAGUGACAUGUACUGGUGGAUAAGCACUGUCUACUGCAUCAUGAGUGCUGAUGCCUGGCAGUGAUGUAGCUGCAGUUGGAACACAGCUAUGUUUUAUGCUCAUUAGCUCUCAGGCUACACACUAUUAUUAUUAAUAUAGUAGAAGUAUAACUACUGUAA